rnacentral:rRNA from 1 species
GACGAACGCUGGCGGCGUGCUUAACACAUGCAAGUCGAACGGAAAGGCCCUGCUUGCAGGGUGCUCGAGUGGCGAACGGGUGAGUAACACGUGGGUGAUCUGCCCCUUACUUUUGGAUAAGCCUGGGAAACUGGGUCUAAUACUGGAUAGGACCAUGCUGUAGGUGGUGUGGUGGAAAGAUUAGUUUCGGUAAGGGAUGAGCUCGCGGCCUAUCAGCUUGUUGGUGGGGUAAUGGCCUACCAAGGCGUCGACGGGUAGCCGGCCUGAGAGGGUGGACGGCAACAUUGGGACUGAGAUACGACCCAGACUCCUGCGGGAGGCAGCAGUGGGGAAUAGUGCACAAUGGGCGCAAGCCGGAUGCAGCGACGGCGCGUGGGGGAUGACGGCCUUCGGGUUGUAAACUCCUUUCAGCCAUGACGAAGCCCUUGUGGUGACGGUAGUGGUAGAAGAAGCACCGGCUAACUACGUG